AGGUCAAAGCCUUCUGGAGCCAACCUUGAGGUGAGAUCCAGGAGCUUGUGAAGAGUCACUGCUGGAUAGCUUCAGGUGUGAGGGAAUGAAAGGAAUGGAGAACAUCAGGCUGGUAUUCGAGUUCUGCUUGGACACCAAGAAUUGAAAAUAAGUAGAAGAAAUGUUUUACUCAGCUACCAGAAUCUGUCUCUAGUAUUUUACUAAAUGAUAUGAGAUUCAAGACUACUAAAAUUCACUGCUACCAUAUAAGUAGAAAACACCAAUGCAGUUUUAAAGAGUACUAGAUCAGCCAACUACUAAACUUGAUAGAUUCAAGGAGCCUGCUGGGAAGAAUUUUGGAGGUGGGCCACUACACAAUAUUCACCCUGUGUGGGCAACACCAAACAAACAGUCUGCAAAUAAAGUCCGCGCUCUCCCCCACGCGCAUGCACAGAGGCACAUCUUUUCUCCAUUACCUUUGCUAAUACCAUCUUUCUUCCAUCUUGA